GUUCAAAGGUGGUGAGAGGCAGGAUCACUGACACGGGCUCUUGGGGAACCUGGGCGUCUAAUUCCAAGCUGGAACCUAACCAGUGCAGUCUAUUCCUCCCAAAAGUUUCCCCUGGCAGAUCCAGGGGAAACUUGAAAAUCUUGGCACAGCUGGGUGGGGCGGAGCUCUCCUCCGAUAAGAGGUACCCGGGAGGCCUGCUUGCUGAAGGUCCUGGCUGCUGGGUCAGGUGCGGGAGAGUGAACUGUGCGUCCGGGUUCCUCACAGCCCUCUGGAACAAGGGGGAAUAUAGGCCAGCCUGGACCUUGUACCCUGACAGGACCUGAGUCAGAAGAGGCCAGGUCACCAUUGCAGGCUCUUGGGUGAAACGAAGCAUCUGCAAAUGCGCAGGACGGCACCGUUCUGAACUAAGGCGGCUAGUCACCUUAAAGCGAGAUACCGCGAGAACUCUGAAGCCUCGCUCGGUGAGACCAGAGUGUCCUGGAAUGAGAGACACGUGGGAGCCGUGGUUCCUGUACAGGCCCCAGUUCCCAUCAGCAGCACGAACAAGUGGGAACUGACUGUCGCCACCUGUGUAGCAACAGUAACUCAUCACAUUUCAGCCGGUGGGGAUGCUCCACACGGGAACGUAUCCAGGUGGUUCAUCUGAGCCGUGGACCCACAGGCCUGAAGAGCCCUAGCUGACUAAGCCAUGCUGAAUGGAUCAUUUACAUUCGUGGAGCACUUCAGGACUCACGGCAGCCAACUACCAGGCCUCCGCUGUGGGAAUCUUCUUGGUAUGCAGGCACAGACAAGCCCCUUGAAGAUGGCUGCUGCCCCAGGUGUAGAUCACAAAGCAUCCCCCAACAGCCUCCUGCACACUAAUCUCUUCUGAUUCCGUUUCCCAGGAAACCCAACCUGCGACAGCCUCGACAGGUAAAUAAAGGAGGAUGCAGAGUGCCGUGCGCAGCAUUGCUCACCAGCCAGCAGAGGGAGCUUCUGAAGUUUCAGUGUGGGUGUAGCAGUCGUGGGUACCAAUGAUUAAAGAUGGUUUGUCUCAGCAAUAACCAGAUACGUGGAUGCUCAGCGAUGGGGAAUCAAAGGUCUUUCUCUUAAUGCCUAGGUUUAAACCCUUACUGGCAGUGAGAUCUAGGCAUGCCACUUAGCCUCUCUGUCCUUUAUUUUCCUAAUCUGUAAAAUGGGCAAUUUUUAAAGUACUUAGAACAGUUUCUGACACACAUUGUUACUUAAGUGAUUGUUCAUGACAGUGAUUGUUGAAGAAAAUACUAGGACUUUUGUAAAUGUGGGUUACUUUCUUGUCUCCUACCCCUGGCAGGAAGGAAAGAAUAAUAAAGAAGAGAAAUAUUGAAUUGACAGAAUAUUUAUCUAGAUGGAAUGGAAUUAAAACCAGAAGAAACUAAAUUUACUUUGAAUUGGUAAGAUUAAGUUUCCUGACAUCAGAGGAAAUGGGUGUCUAUAAAUCCAUUUUUCACAAGUGGGUCAAAGUGUCUAUAAAUUCAUAUCUUGCUAUGAUAAUUAGAUAAUUACCUUUUAAAAAUAACAUGUGGUUUAUAAUGCAUCGGACACAAAUGCAGGAUUUAUUGGCAAGAACUAAUUGAUUCUAAUUAGUUUAAUACCUAAUUUGGUUUUAUGUUUCUCUCUACGUUUUACCUCCAAAUUGAAGAUCCUUUACCUUAACAGCUAAUACAGCAUAAUCUGUUAAACAUUUCUGGAAAAAGAAAUAUAUCAUUCCCUUUGAAAAUUAUUCAUUCCAAUCAUAAAAUGCCGCAGGCUUUCUCCUCCCCCACCUCACCCUGCCCCCAUUCAGAAUUCUAUGGGGAGAGAAAUGGAAGGGAGAUGAGAGUCCUUUAAGACUUCUCCCUUUAAGAAAUGAGACUCUCUUUUCCCUAAUUUAAUUAAAAUAAACAUGACUUGAGAAAGAACAAGAAAUACCUGCAGGUUUCAUUCUAGUUUCUCUCCAUCUGUUAGACCCAUAUUUUCUGAAAUGACCUAGCAGCUGUGCUGCAAAGACACCCUACACUAAUGUUCUCUUUUAUGCAUGUAUAAGACUCGAGCUUUAGUAAAUAUUUCAGUAUUUUAUUUAUAUCAGAUACAGUCACCUUUUAAAAAUGCCAGUGAAAGCUCUCUGCUUACAUUUAAAGGUGGCACUUCGGCAAUUCCAGUGACUCCUCUAGCUCUGUUGUUGACCUAUGAGAAGAUUUGGGAGAGUCUUCUGGUUUAGAACUAAAAAUCAAAUCGUACUAGGAGAAUCACUUUUCAGGGACUCAGAGUGGGCCAUGGUCUGCUACGCUGACUGGAGGCGAGCAUGUAUUUUAUAUGUUCUCAACAAAAUGGAUCACAGGAUUAUAAGGCAAAGCAAAAGUAACUUGAUGAUGAUACCUGGACACAAAGUGGUACGUUAUUCAUUCAUUCAGUCAUUCAGCUAUUUACUGAGCAGCUAUUAUGCUAAGCACUAUUGGAGGAGCAAGGGGCACUUAUUUAGAUGCAGAUCUUGCUCUCAAGUGCAUUAAUGCUUAAAGAAUCCCUUAAUAAGGAUGAUGUAAUGUGUUUCACCUGAGAGGAAGGAGCCAGAGGAUUACUUCUUAAAGAGAGUGAGAGGGGAG
rnacentral:lncRNA from 1 species